rnacentral:rRNA from 1 species
UACAGAGGUCCCAAGCGUUAUUCGGAUUCACUGGGCGUAAAGGGUGCGUAGGUGGUGAGGUAAGUCGGAUGUGAAAGCUCGGAGCUCAACUCCGAAAUGGCAUUGGAAACUACCUUGCUCGAGGGUUGGAGGGGGGACUGGAAUACUUGGUGUAGCAGUGAAAUGCGUAGAUAUCAAGUGGAACACCAGUGGCGAAGGCGAGUCCCUGGACAACUCCUGACACUGAGGCACGAAAGCUAGGGGAGCAAACAGG